rnacentral:rRNA from 1 species
UACAGAGGUCUCAAGCGUUGUUCGGAUUCAUUGGGCGUAAAGGGUGCGUAGGCGGCGAGGUAAGUCGGAUGUGAAAUCCCGGGGCUUAACCCCGGAACUGCAUUCGAUACUGCCUUGCUCGAGUACUGGAGAGGAGACUGGAAUUUACGGUGUAGCAGUGAAAUGCGUAGAUAUCGUAAGGAAGACCAGUGGCGAAGGCGAGUCUCUGGACAGUUACUGACGCUGAGGCACGAAGGCCAGGGGAGCAAACGGG